UUUUAAGCUAAUAGUUGACUCUGACGGGUUAACCUUCCAGAGUUGUUUAAGGGAUCUUCACCUCAAUACACCCGGUGUAAAAAACGAACGCAGGUUACUAAAAUUUUUAAAUACCUGUCUGAAAUGACAUCAACCGGGAUUCCAAACGUAGUGGGGAAACUAAUCCGGCCAAGGCCCUGGGGAUAAGGAAUUAAAUGGAAACUCCUGUAAAAGUUGGCCGUAAAGGGGGAUAACCCCUUACACAAAGAACAUUAAUUUUAAUUGAGUUGGGCGGGACACAUGUAAUCCAGGAUGACCAUGUGGAUACACAACACCAAU
rnacentral:rRNA from 1 species